CCGACCGGGCGACCGCGGUGACAGCCCAGCCCGGGGCUCGAGAGGGGAGCCCCGCGCGGGGUGGGCGGCGCGGCGGGACGUGGGUGUGCCCGCCAGUCCUCCUCCGGGACGGGCCGCCGGGGAGGAGCCGACGCUAAAGCCGGCGGGAGGCUCGGAGCGCCGGCUCCCUGGGCCUUCGGCUUGUUCGUCUGAGCAGCUGGUUCCCGGAGCCGCCGCCGGCCCUCCCAGCCCCUGCAGCCACGCUGCUGAUCCUGGGGACCUGGCGACCUAGGACUGCGACCAGGAUCCUGGAAGGCCCCUCUGCACACCGCCAGAGAGCCGAGCCUCUGCUGGAAGGAAGAGGGGAGGCGAGACCCCACAGGACACCCCUGCAUGCUUCCCAGGAUUAAGAACCUAUUUAUGAAGCAUCUUAUUUCGUGACCGAAGCUCCACGGUCAGUGAGACGUAAAUGGCCCCACUUCCCCCCGGCAUUCGCUUCAUCGUCUCGUUCUCCAGGGAUCAGUGGUACAGAGCCUUCAUUUUUAUUUUGACAUUUUUGCUGUAUGCAAGUUUUCACUUAUCUCGAAAGCCCAUCAGCAUAGUUAAGGGUGAGCUGCACAGCUUCUGCACGGCUUCAUAUGAGGGGGAGGUCGGAUUCCACAGCCAGAGCCCAAAAGCUGGGGACACCCCCGCUCAGCAGCUCCCAGACAACGGGACCGACUGUGGCUGGGCCCCAUUUGAUCAGGACAACUUCCAGCAGCUGCUCGGCGCCCUGGACUACUCCUUCCUGUGUGCGUACGCUGUUGGCAUGUACCUGAGUGGCAUAAUAGGGGAGCGUCUGCCCAUUAGGUAUUACCUGACUUUUGGAAUGGUGGCCAGCGGUGCUUUCACUGCCCUGUUUGGGGCAGGGUAUUUCUACAACAUCCACAGUUUUGGAUUCUACGUGGUGACCCAGAUCGUCAACGGACUGGUACAGACCACCGGCUGGCCCAGCGUCGUCACCUGCCUCGGCAACUGGUUUGGCAAAGGGAGGCGAGGUUUGAUCAUGGGGGUCUGGAAUUCCCACACGUCUGUGGGCAACAUUCUGGGGUCCUUGAUCGCUGGCUACUGGGUGUCCACGUGCUGGGGCCUGUCCUUCGUCGUGCCUGGGGCCAUCGUGGCAGCCAUGGGGAUAGUGUGCUUUCUCUUUCUCAUUGAACAUCCGAAGGACGUCGCCUGCUCUUCCUCCCCGGCCAUGCAUCCAAAAAGCUACGAGAACGGCACGCACAGAUUCCGGCCACAGAAGCAAGCGCUAACCGAGGAGAGGAACAAAUCUCUGGACCCAGAGAUGCAGUGCUUACUGCUGUCGGAUGGAAAGCGCUCCGGCCACCAGAACCACGUGGUCGUUCUCCCGGCAGACGGCGGCGGCAUUGCGGCCAUCAGCUUCGUAGGGGCCUUGAAAAUUCCCGGCGUGAUAGAGUUCUCUCUGUGUCUACUGUUUGCCAAGUUGGUCAGCUAUACUUUCCUCUUCUGGCUUCCACUGUACAUCACAAAUGUAGAUCACCUCGAUGUCAAGAAGGCCGGGGAGCUCUCCACCUUGUUUGAUGUGGGCGGGAUCUUCGGUGGGAUCCUGGCAGGUGUUAUCUCCGAUCGACUGGAGAAGAGGGCCUCCACCUGCGGCAUCAUGCUCCUACUCGCAGCCCCGACGCUCUACGUAUUCUCUGCCAUCAGCAAAAUGGGUCUAGAAGCCACCAUCGCCAUGCUGCUCCUCAGCGGGGCCCUGGUCAGCGGGCCGUACGCACUGAUCACGACCGCCGUCUCCGCCGACCUGGGGACUCAUAAAAGUCUGAAGGGAAACUCCCACGCCCUGGCCACCGUGACCGCCAUCAUUGACGGAACUGGGUCUGUAGGAGCAGCGCUGGGCCCACUGCUGGCCGGGCUCCUCUCCCCGUCGGGGUGGAGCAACGUGUUCUACAUGCUGGUGUUUGCAGACGCCUGUGCCUUAGUGACAUCUUUCUGGCUGGAAUCUGUCCUAAGGGCGUUAUUCCCAGGAGCACGGCCUCCUCCCAGUGACACACGGGACUCGGUGCCCAGCAGCCCUGCCCUGGGACCCGGCCCGUGGGCAGCUGUGCGGGGCACUCCCACCGCUCUGCUUGAGGCUUUUAAGUUCUUUACGUUCUGAGGAAGAGGUCCCUCCGUGGGCAGCUGGUCCCCAGCGCCCCACGGGAGAGCCGCAGACACGUUCCUGCUCCGCCUCAUACACAAGGAGCUGAGCUGCCCGGGGUCGGCGACGGGAAACCAAGCUCUGUUUAAGGAGCACUGACCCUUCGAGUCCCGUGGAGGGAGGCUGGGCCAGUCCUUCACAAACUGUCUUUCAAGGAAGAGUUCAAAUAAAGGAUCCUGUGUUGAAAAGAGUGAUUUACCCUUGCCUUUUGCACAUUCACCUGGGAAAGACACACAAGCCACUUUGAGAAAUCCUGGUACUGUGUCAGCCGGGCCGUGGAGCUCCCCGGCAGUGGUGGAGCAGCUCGUGGGCGGUGCUGGCUGCCGCCCGCCGAGCCCCACGAGCUGGCUCCUCGGGGCGCCGGGUGGCCCCUCUGCAUCCUGAGUGGCAGCGGCCGGGACUGGUGUGCAGCGCCCAGGGGAGCCUCGGUCUCUCUCAGGUAUUUCAGCGCGGGACGUCCAAGUGGGUGGAGCUCAGAUGGCAGGAACGUGCCGGGGGACAGUCAGGAUGCUGCAGGCAGUCGGGGUGCGGACCGCAGAGACACCUCUGCAAGGACAGAGCUGACACCUGCAUCAAAACCAAGACAGAGCUCAGACCCAUCAUGUCACCCAAAAGAUGUCCCCAGCACUUCCCCCUGCUCUGCACCCACCCGGAAACGGUCCAGGGUGGACUGCAGUGAAGCCGUCAAAGCCUGUGGACAGACUGGAGGACAGACGGCCGCCCCAGAACCCCGGGGGUUCCCGUCACCAGAGCCCCAAGGGCCCCGAAGCCACUGGCCCCGGGUGGGGUCGCGGGGAGGACGCGGUGAGGCCGGGCCCGCAGCCCAGCCCUCUGUCUCCCCCCGUGACGCCACGCGCAGACCUGGGCCUGUCCUUGGUGACACAGCACUGGGGCGGAUUUAUUUGCUGAAAUGGGUGAUGUGUUACAGAAGCUUAGGGAACAUACGUGGCAUCUUGUCAUUGAUCCAGACAAGCUCCGAUGGUUUUCUAACCACCUGUUUCCUCGGGCGUUGCCUCUCGGUUGUUGACCUUUGAAAUAAAAUGUUUAAAAGAAAAACCAA